rnacentral:rRNA from 1 species
GACGAACGCUGGCGGCGUGCUUAACACAUGCAAGUCGAACGGAAAGGCCCUGCUUUUGUGGGGUGCUCGAGUGGCGAACGGGUGAGUAACACGUGAGUAACCUGCCCUUGACUUUGGGAUAACUUCAGGAAACUGGGGCUAAUACCGGAUAGGAGCUCCUGUUGCAUGGUGGGGGUUGGAACGUUUAGGCGGUUGGGGCUGGACUCGCGGCUUAUCAGCUUGUUGGUGGGGUAGUGGCUUGCCAAGGCUUUGACGGGUAGCCGGCCUGAGAGGGUGACCGGCCACAUUGGGACUGAGAUACGGCCCAGACUCCUACGGGAGGCAGCAGUGGGGAAUAUUGCACAAUGGGCGGAAGCCUGAUGCAGCAACGCCGCGUGCGGGAUGACGGCCUUCGGGUUGUAAACCGCUUUCGCCUGUGACGAAGCGUGAGUGACGGUAAUGGGUAAAGAAGCACCGGCUAACUACGUG